rnacentral:rRNA from 1 species
AUGUUACGAUUGUGUGAAUACAUAGCACAUUCGAGGUAGACGCAGAGAACUGAAACAUCUAAGUACCUGCAGGAAGAGAAAGAAAAUUCGAUUCCCUGAGUAGCGGCGAGCGAAACGGGAAAAGCCCAAACCAGCAAGCUUGCUUGUUGGGGUUGUAGGACUCCAAUAUGGUAGUUCUUUCAGAUAGUCGAAUGACUUGGAAAAGUCAGUCAAAGAGGGUAAAAACCCCGUAGACGAAAUGUGGAAGACACCUAGGAGGAUCCUGAGUACGGCGGAACACGAGAAAUUCCGUCGGAAUCCGGGAGGACCAUCUCCCAAGGCUAAAUACUCCCUAGUGACCGAUAGUGAACCAGUACCGUGAGGGAAAGGUGAAAAGCACCCCGGAAGGGGAGUGAAAUAGAACCUGAAACCGUGUGCCUACAACAAGUCAAAGCCCGUUAAUGGGUGAUGGCGUGCCUUUUGUAGAAUGAACCGGCGAGUUACGAUUGCAUGCGAGGUUAAGUUGAAGAGACGGAGCCGCAGCGAAAGCGAGUCUGAAUAGGGCGUUUGAGUAUGUAGUCGUAGACCCGAAACCAUGUGAUCUACCCAUGUCCAGGUUGAAGGUGCGGUAAAACGCACUGGAGGACCGAACCCACGUACGUUGAAAAGUGCGGGGAUGAGGUGUGGGUAGCGGAGAAAUUCCAAACGAACUUGGAGAUAGCUGGUUCUCUCCGAAAUAGCUUUAGGGCUAGCCUCGGAAUU